rnacentral:rRNA from 1 species
UGCAUCAUGAUUUACAUUUGAGUGAGUGGCGAACUGGUGAGUAACACGUGGGAAACCUGCCCAGAAGCGGGGGAUAACACCUGGAAACAGAUGCUAAUACCGCAUAACAACUUGGACCGCAUGGUCCGAGUUUGAAAGAUGGCUUCGGCUAUCACUUUUGGAUGGUCCCGCGGCGUAUUAGCUAGAUGGUGGGGUAACGGCUCACCAUGGCAAUGAUACGUAGCCGACCUGAGAGGGUAAUCGGCCACAUUGGGACUGAGACACGGCCCAAACUCCUACGGGAGGCAGCAGUAGGGAAUCUUCCACAAUGGACGAAAGUCUGAUGGAGCAACGCCGCGUGAGUGAAGAAGGGUUUCGGCUCGUAAAACUCUGUUGUUAAAGAAGAACAUAUCUGAGAGUAACUGUUCAGGUAUUGACGGUAUUUAACCAGAAAGCCACGGCUAACUACGUGCCAGCAGCCGCGGUAAUACGUAGGUGGCAAGCGUUGUCCGGAUUUAUUGGGCGUAAAGCGAGCGCAGGCGGUUUUUUAAGUCUGAUGUGAAAGCCUUCGGCUCAACCGAAGAAGUGCAUCGGAAACUGGGAAACUUGAGUGCAGAAGAGGACAGUGGAACUCCAUGUGUAGCGGUGAAAUGCGUAGAUAUAUGGAAGAACACCAGUGGCGAAGGCGGCUGUCUGGUCUGUAACUGACGCUGAGGCUCGAAAGUAUGGGUAGCAAACAGGAUUAGAUACCCUGGUAGUCCAUACCGUAAACGAUGAAUGCUAAGUGUUGGAGGGUUUCCGCCCUUCAGUGCUGCAGCUAACGCAUUAAGCAUUCCGCCUGGGGAGUACGGCCGCAAGGCUGAAACUCAAAGGAAUUGACGGGGGCCCGCAAAAG